AUAGCCACAUAGUCCGACCUCUAUGGAAGUCCACUCAAAGCUUCGAUCUGAUCGAUCUUCUCGGCAGUGCUAGCUCGCGUGAAGAUCUUCUUCUUGACUGAUUUGGAUCUUUUCUUCAAAUUUUUAGAACUUUUUUAGAAGUUGAAGAUAGAUCUUUGGAGGAGAUGAAGAGAUUAAAGAAAGAUGGAGAAGAAACUAUUUUUUUUCUUAUUUUUCUCUCUUCCCAAACACAUAGGAAUAAAACCCUAGAAGACUAGGUUUUGCGCACACCCCAAGAGAGAGGACUCUCCUCUCCUUUUUCAUGCCAAGAACUCAUGCCUAAGACCCCA
rnacentral:lncRNA from 1 species